rnacentral:rRNA from 2 species
ACGGGAGGCAGCAGUAGGGAAUCUUCCACAAUGGACGAAAGUCUGAUGGAGCAACGCCGCGUGAGUGAAGAAGGGUUUCGGCUCGUAAAACUCUGUUGUUAAAGAAGAACAUAUCUGAGAGUAACUGUUCAGGUAUUGACGGUAUUUAACCAGAAAGCCACGGCUAACUACGUGCCAGCAGCCGCGGUAAUACGUAGGUGGCAAGCGUUGUCCGGAUUUAUUGGGCGUAAAGCGAGCGCAGGCGGUUUUUUAAGUCUGAUGUGAAAGCCUUCGGCUCAACCGAAGAAGUGCAUCGGAAACUGGGAAACUUGAGUGCAGAAGAGGACAGUGGAACUCCAUGUGUAGCGGUGAAAUGCGUAGAUAUAUGGAAGAACACCAGUGGCGAAGGCGGCUGUCUGGUCUGUAACUGACGCUGAGGCUCGAAAGUAUGGGUAGCAAACAGGAUUAGAUACCCUGGUAGUCCAUACCGUAAACGAUGAAUGCUAAGUGUUGGAGGGUUUCCGCCCUUCAGUGCUGCAGCUAACGCAUUAAGCAUUCCGCCUGGGGAGUACGGCCGCAAGGCUGAAACUCAAAGGAAUUGACGGGGGCCCGCACAAGCGGUGGAGCAUGUGGUUUAAUUCGAAGCUACGCGAAGAACCUUACCAGGUCUUGACAUACUAUGCAAAUCUAAGAGAUUAGACGUUCCCUUCGGGGACAUGGAUACAGGUGGUGCAUGGUUGUCGUCAGCUCGUGUCGUGAGAUGUUGGGUUAAGUCCCGCAACGAGCGCAACCCUUAUUAUCAGUUGCCAGCAUUAAGUUGGGCACUCUGGUGAGACUGCCGGUGACAAACCGGAGGAAGGUGGGGAUGACGUCAAAUCAUCAUGCCCCUUAUGACCUGGGCUACACACGUGCUACAAUGGAUGGUACAACGAGUUGCGAACUCGCGAGAGUAAGCUAAUCUCUUAAAGCCAUUCUCAGUUCGGAUUGUAGGCUGCAACUCGCCUACAUGAAGUCGGAAUCGCUAGUAAUCGCGGAUCAGCAUGCCGCGGUGAAUACGUUCCCGGGCCUUGUACACACCGCCCGUCACACCAUGAGAGUUUGUAACACCCAAAGUCGGUGGGGUAACCUUUUAGGAACCAGCCG